rnacentral:rRNA from 1 species
ACUGCUCAGUAACACGUGGACAACCUGCCCUUAGGUUGGGUAUAAACCCGGGAAACUGGGUAUAAUACCCGAUAGGUCUCGAUUGCUGGAAUGCAUCGAGAUUUAAAGCUCCGGCGCCUAAGGAUGGGUCUGCGGCCUAUCAGGUAGUAGUGGGUGUAGCGUACCUACUAGCCUACGACGGGUACGGGUUGUGAGAGCAAGAGCCCGGAGAUGGAUUCUGAGACACGAAUCCAGGCCCUACGGGGUGCAGCAGGCGCGAAAACCUUACAAUGCUGGCAACAGCGAUAAGGGAACCUCGAGUGCCAGGUUACAAAUCUGGCUGUCGAGAUGCCUAAAAAGCAUUUCAUAGCAAGGGCCGGGCAAGACCGGUGCCAGCCGCCGCGGUAACACCGGCGGCUCGAGUGGUAACCGUUAUUAUUGGGUCUAAAGGGUCUGUAGCCGGCCGGAUAAGUCUCUUGAGAAAUCUGGCAGCUUAACUGUCAGGCUUUCAGGAGAUACUGUCUGGCUCGAGGCCGGGAGAGGUGAGAGGUACUUCAGGGGUAGGGGUGAAAUCUUGUAAUCCUUGAAGGACCACCAGUGGCGAAGGCGUCUCACCAGAACGGACCUGACGGCAAGGGACGAAAGCUAGGGGCACGAACCGGAUUAGAUACCCGGGUAGUCCUAGCCGUAAACGAUACUCGCUAGGUGUCGGCCACGGUGCGACCGUUGUCGGUGCCGUAGGGAAGCCGUGAAGCGAGCCACCUGGGAAGUACGGCCGCAAGGCUGAAACUUAAAGGAAUUGGCGGGGGAGCAC